rnacentral:sRNA from 1 species
UUACAAGAGAGGACACUUUUGUUCACCCAGUGGCUCAAUCAAUCAACAUCUAAUGACCACCUACUGUGUGCCAGGCACAGAGGUGCAAUAGGCAAAGUGAGACUUUAUGGGUUUUAUGGCCUAAUAGGGGAAUCAGACAUUAACCAAAUGAUGCCACAACACAUGAACUUGCAGUUGACCCAUGGCCCUGUCUGUAUCCCUGCAGGCCAAGUACCACCUGUGCUCAGCAGGCUGGCUGGAGACCGGGCGGGUUGCCUACCCCACAGCCUUCGCCUCCCAGAACUGUGGCUCUGGUGUGGUUGGGAUAGUGGACUAUGGACCUAGACCCAACAAGAGUGAAAUGUGGGAUGUCUUCUGCUAUCGGAUGAAAGAUGUGAACUGCACCUGCAAGGUGGGCUAUGUGGGAGAUGGCUUCUCAUGCAGUGGGAACCUGCUGCAGGUCCUGAUGUCCUUCCCCUCACUCACAAACUUCCUGACGGAUUCACUGAGGAAAGGAAAAGUCCUCAAACUCUCCCACGGCGCAGGCAGAAGACACAGCAAAGGAGCAGCAGGCUGAGUUGGCUCACACCAUGAAUAUUCACAGAUGGGUGAUGCCCUGGGACCUUCUUCAGCCACCCAGGUCCCUGCACACCAGGGCUGGCCCCUCUGAUGACUUCCUCCUUCUCCCCAGGAAGUGUUGGCCUAUUCCAACAGCUCAGCUCGAGGCCGUGCAUUUCUAGAACACCUGACUGACCUGUCCAUCCGCGGCACCCUCUUUGUGCCACAGAACAGUGGGCUGGGGGAGAAUG